AUCUGAAGCACAAUUUCAUGAGGAAAGAAGGCUUGGGAUUGCCAUUAUUUCAAGGAUGAUCUUGAAAGCUUGGACUUCAGUGUUGCAGAACUGAAGUUACCGAGGAUCAGGAGUCCGCAAAAUGGGAUGCAUCUCGAGCUGUUUUCUGGGUGUUUUUUUUUUACCUUGAAGAAUUUGUCAAUGCUCUCUCCUGUAUUGUAAAUUAACCAUGCACGUGGAAUUUAGUAUAUGCAGUGGUG